rnacentral:tRNA from 1 species
UCCUAGAUGACUGAGUUAAAGUGCUAGACUUUUAAUCUAGAAACAGCAUGUGUAAAAAUGCUUCUAGGAG